UGAGAAAUAGAGUUUUAAAAAAUUUUGACAGUUUAACCGCAUCAUACAAUGCUAUAGCAUAUGUACUAAUUUAUUUAAUAUUAUGUUUUGUGUAUUAUAGACUAGGGAGUAUUAAAGCAGGGCAUUGGUAUUAUAUAUAUCCAUGUAUAGAAAAAUUAUUUAAAAAAGACACAAAAGAUUAUGAUAGUAGUAAUGGAAAAAGAAAAAAAAAAAAAUUACCUUUAAAUAAUUCGAUGAAGUUAAAUAUUAGAAAAAAGAAUAAAAAAAACAAAAAUGGAACAGUAAAAUGUGUUUAUAUUCAUAAAAAAAAGAUAUAUGACCCGUUAUUAGAAAAUGUAUAUGAUGAUGUUAUUAAUGAAAGCAGUUAUGAUUGUUCUAAUGAAGAUAACACUGCGUGGAUUAAGAUAGAAGACAUGUGUGAGAAUAAGUAUGUUGCUAGAUGUGCAAACAAUCAUGUAGCUAAGUAUGCAAAUAAAUUUGCAACUAAAAAUGAACAUACAUUAAAAGAUAGCAAUAUUGAGGAAGCACAGAUAUGUACAUCUCACCAAACGUUUAACAAAAUAAAAAAAAGUGAAUUAUACGAAAGUAAAAGGUUCAAUGAUAAUGAUGUUUAUUGUAUUGAAAAUAAAAAAAAGCUAAAAAAUGAUUUAAAUAUUGGUUGUUCUGGUAAAAACUGGAAUAACAAAUCGGGUGAUAAUCAUACUUAUGAAUCCAAAGGAAGGGUAACAUAUGAAGCGAAAACGAUGGGAGAAAUAUCAUCAAAUAAAAUGUUACCAUAUAAUGAGUAUAGAAUAAAAUAUCCUUCAGAUGAUUACGAAUAUAAUAAAUACAAUAUAUAUAUGAUAAAUAAAAAAGAAUACGAGAGAACAAAUAAAUUACAAAUGAGUAUAAAAGAUAAAUGGGCAAGAAUGGGGGCUUAUAAAUAUGUUAUUAUUAUUGCUAUAAUUGACAUAGUGUCUAACACUUUUUAUUUUGUAUCUCAACAAGCUAUACCAUUAACUAUAUUAUUAUUAUUGAACCAAAUGAAUUUUAUUUUUUCUAUUAUAUUAUCUGCUUUAAUAUUAAAAAGAAAAUAUAAUAUACACCACAUUAUAUCUGUUAUAAUCGUAUUGAUUGGAUAUCUCUUUUUUUAUUUCCCAUACGUAUAUAAAGAAGAUAUAAAUAUGAUUAUGCAUAACACAAUAGUAAAGUAUUAUACUAAUGUUAAUUUUUUCACAGGUUUAAAUGAUAGCAUAUAUAAUAUAAGCGUGAUAAAUGAUUAUAAUGAUAGUCUAUUAGGAAAUAACCGUGAUGAUAUAUAUUAUAGUAGCAGUAAUAACAAUGGUACAUAUUUUAAUAAAGUGGGCUCUUCUCCUGGUUCUGUAAAUGUUUCUCAAUACAGUCUAUUAAUAUCAGUUAUCUAUUGUUUAUUCUCAAUUUUAUUAACAGCUUUAAGUGGCGUGUUAAGAGAAAUAUUUUUUGCAGAAUAUUCAAUAAAAGUGAAUAACAAAACGGGUAAUGAUGAUGAAACUUUGAUAAUAAAUACUAAAGAAGAUGAUAAAAAAAAUGAUAAAGAAAAUUAUCACAAAGAUGUUAAAAAAUAUAUGUACUUAUAUAAACAUGCAACAUCAAUGAAAAAAAAACGAUAUUAUGCAUAUGUAUUAGAAAAGUUAAAAUGUUCACAACUAGUACGUUUUAAUAACGAAAAAAAAAAGGUACAUGAAAAAAUGGAUAAUGGAAAGGUAUAUGGUCAUAUGGGUAGGCAUAAAAUAACAACAAAAGAUGAGCAUAUAAAAAACAUUAACCACGACAAGGGUAAAGAAUACGAAAUUGUUAAAUACAAAAAUGAUUAUAACAUUGAUUAUGAAAAGAGUGAUGAGGACAAUUACAGCAAUAGUAACAAUACUAAUAGUAAAAAACCAAAUAGUAAAACAGUAGAAUUACAAAAUAGUACAUAUUUAGAUAGAAGAAAUAUUAAUAAUAAAAUUAUAAAAGCAGAUUUAAAAGAAAAAAAAAAAAAAAGAGAAAUAGGUAAAAACAAAGAAUCAAAUAAANNNNNNNNNNAAAAAAAAAAAAAAAGAGAAAUAGGUAAAAACAAAGAAUCAAAUAAAAUUAGUGUCAUAUUAUUAUUGUUUAAUAUU
ensembl:lncRNA